AGAUGGCUUAUAAAAAACGAGUGGUAGUUGUUUUAUUCCCUCAUUCAGUCAUUGUUUAUUUGAGUCAAUUCCUAAGCAAUUAAAUGCGAUAGUUUUCAGUGAAUUUAUAGCAUGUAGAGUUGAUGUCGCACUAGAAAGAACAAAGGCAAUAAAAGGAACAAAUCCUUAAGAAAAGGCUUUAAGUCUCAAUUGAAUUAUGCUCAAAUAAUAAUAAUACUAGAAACCCUAGGUCCUAUUUAUAGAAUUAGGAAUC
rnacentral:misc_RNA from 1 species